ensembl:lncRNA
AUGUUUACUCAACUCAACUGUUUCCUUUCUGUUUUUCUGUCACAGUGUUUACAGAUAGAAAGACAAAGUCAGUGUAUUGUUCACUUAUUUGGAUCUUCUUUUAUCAUUACAUCGAACAUCAACAUGAGUUUGUUAACCAUCACCAAAAGUUUUCCCGAGAGUACAGUGCAGUCCUCAUCUCCUGAACUCUCAGAUGAGCUCACCACUGCCCUCGCCGCAGGGCGAUGGUGGGCAAUAAUGGAGGUUUCUUCUCCUAUAUCUGAAGAGUCUGAGUAUGGGGACUUCACCUCAGUGCAGUGGUGGGGAACAAUGGAGGAAGGAGAAACUUCAUGCCCCAAGUCUCUGGUCUUCAGUGGUGAAUCUGAGAAGGCUGAGUCCCCGCACUCAGGCUUCCCAGCUGCAACACUGAAGACCAAGGAGCUGUGGAGGCAGAAGAAGACACAGGGUGCACCCGUGCCUCCCAGGUCCCAACAGGGAGCACCUGUGCAUGCAAAUACCAAGAAGAGGGACCACACCUCAUCCCUGGUCUUCAACUAUGCAUCUAAGAAGGCUGACUCUCCACACUCAGGCUUUACAGAUGCAACAAUGAAGACCACGGAGCAGCAGAGGAAGUGGAGGCAGAAGAAGCCUCAGGUAGCACCUGAGCCUGCUGGGUACCCGCAGGGACCAUCUGUGACCACUGGCUCUCAACGAAGAGGAAAGGUCAUGAUCCCCGAGCAUCUGAGGCAACAUCUGCUUAGGGCCGCUUCUGAACUGGAAGCACCUGUGCAAGCUAGGUCCCCACAGAGAGCACCAGUGCCCACAGCAUCUCCUCAACACACACCCAUGUGCACCAAGUCUCUACAGACAGAAGCUAUGCCUGCCCCAAAGGUGCCAAAACCAAAGAUCCCUGAGCAGCUGAGGCAAGAGCUGCUGCAGCAGAAGCCCAACGAGACCCAAGAGAGGCAAAGGCUCAAGAUACCUGAGCGACCGAGGCAGGAGCUGCUGCAGCUGUCGGCUCGAGCCUCUUCUGUUCAAGGAGGACCUGCGCCCAACGAGACCCCAGAGAGGCAAAGGCUCAAGAUACCUGAGCGACUGAGUCAGGAGUUGCUGCAGCUGUCGGCUCGAGCCACUUCUGAUCAAGUAGCCCAUGCGCCCAACGAGACCCAAGAGAGGCAAAGGCUCAAGAUGCCUGAGCGACUGAGGCAGGAGCUGCUGCAGCUGUCGGCUCGAGCCGCUUCUGUUCAAGGAGCACCUGUGCCUCAAAAGACCCCAGAGAGGCAAAGACUAAAACUCCCUCAGCCGCUGAGGCAGGAACUCCUGCAGGUUUCGUCUUGUGCCUCUUCUGAGAAGGGAGCACCUGUGCCUCAAAAGACCCAAGAGAGGCAAAAGCUCAAGAUGCCUGAGCGACUGAGGAAGGAGUUGCUGCAGCAGAAGCAUCAAGCCUCUCCUGUACAGGGUGCUCCCAUGCCUUCCAAGUCCCCACAGGAAGCACCUUUACCUUACAGGAACCCUGUGCAUGCCGGGACCCCACAGGGAGCAGGAGUGUUUGCAGAGGCACUGUCCGCUGAGCCUCUGAAAGGAAUAACAGUUCCCUCCAGAACCAUGAAGACAAGAAAACGGAGGCUUGCUGAGCAUCAAAGCAUUCCUGUCUCUGCCACCCAGGCACUACCCAUGCCCUCCAGGACCUCAAGCGUGACGCCUGUGCAUUCUGGGACCCUACAGGGAGCACUUGUGACCAAAAGUUCCCCACAACAGGGAUCAAAUCCCAGAAUCACUGAGCAGCAGAGGCAGAAGCGGAGGGAGCAGUGGAGACAGCAGCAGAGACAGCGGAGGCAGCAGAAAGCAUCAGUAAGUCCCUUCCAUCUCUUGUUUUUACUUAUUUUCAGAUUUAUUCUAAAAAAUUAA